rnacentral:rRNA from 1 species
CAGCAGCCGCGGUAAUGCGAAGGGUGCAAGCGUUAAUCGGAAUUACUGGGCGUAAAGCGUGCGUAGGCGGUGAGUUAAGUCUGCUGUGAAAUCCCCGGGCUCAACCUGGGAAUGGCAGUGGAUACUGGCUCGCUAGAGUGUGUCAGAGGAUGGUGGAAUUCCCGGUGUAGCGGUGAAAUGCGUAGAGAUCGGGAGGAACAUCAGUGGCGAAGGCGGCCAUCUGGGACAACACUGACGCUGAGGCACGAAAGCGUGGGGAGCAAACAGGAUUAGAUACCCCAGUAGUCCCUGUCUCUUAUAA